CUGUCCAGCCUUCAAUUUUUGCUCCUCUUUCCAGCUGUGAUAGAGGGCUUGGGGCGGACGCAGAUCAAACCAACUCUUAAUUUAGGAGGGCUUCUUGGAGCAUUGAGUAGCUCUCAAAGGCACAAGAGGACAUC